AAUAUUGCACAAUGGGCGAAAGCCUGAUGCAGCAACGCCGCGUGAGUGAUGAAGGCCUUCGGGUCGUAAAGCUCUUUGAUCAGGGAUGAUAAGGACAGUACCUGAAAAACAAGCCACGGCUAAAUAAGUGCAAGCAGCCGCGGUAAUACGUAGGGGGCGAGCGUUGGCCGGAAUUACUUGGGGUAAAGGAUGCGUAGGUGGAUACUUAAGUGGGAUGUGAAAUCCCCGGGCUCAACCCGGGUACUGCAUUCCAAACUGGGUAUCUAGAGUGCAGGAGAGGAAAGCGGAAUUCCUAGCGUAGCGGUGAAAUGCGUAGAUAUUAGGAGGAACACCAGUGGCGAAGGCGGCUUUCUGGACUGUAACUGACACUGAGGCAUGAAAGCGUGGGUAGCAAACAGG
rnacentral:rRNA from 1 species